CAGGGAAUCUUGCACAAUGGACGAAAGUCUGAUGCAGCGACGCCGCGUGGGGGAUGAAGGCCCUAGGGUCGUAAACCCCUUUCAGUGGGGACGAAAAUGACGGUACCCACAGAAGAAGGUCCGGCCAACUACGUGCCAGCAGCCGCGGUAAGACGUAGGGACCGAGCGUUGUCCGGAAUUAUUGGGCGUAAAGAGCUCGUAGGCGGUUGCGUAAGUCGGAUGUGAAAGCUCAGGGCUCAACCCUGAGACGCCAUCCGAUACUGCGCUGACUUGAAUCCAGUAGGGGAGUGUGGAAUUCCUGGUGUAGCGGUGAAAUGCGCAGAUAUCAGGAGGAACACCUAUGGCGAAGGCAGCACUCUGGGCUGGUAUUGACGCUGAGGAGCGAAAGCAUGGGUAGCAAACAGGAUUAGAUACCCCCGUAGUCC
rnacentral:rRNA from 1 species